rnacentral:lncRNA from 1 species
AAAAUACUUUGAGCAAGGCACUGAUAAUUGCUUCGAUUAAGACUCUCAGGGAAGAGGGAACAAAUAUGUUUUCUGAGAAAGUGACCGUAAGUUUGAAUGUAAAGGGUUGCAAAAAUUUCCAAGUGCUCAACUUCUCGUAUUUAUAGUUAACUACAGGAUGCAAAAUUUAGACAAACAAGAGAAAGAAAUCACAAGAUCAAC